CCAAUAGAUGGCUAGGGUUCCGAUCGGCGCGAAAAACAAGCGUCGGUGACUGGUCCGAGAGCGAUCGACCUGACCGGCAGGGCCGGCGCAGGUUACACGGCGGGACAAAAGCCCGGGAGGU
rnacentral:sRNA from 2 species